CAAAUAAUAUGAUUUAUAAAAAAAAAACAAAUAAUAUAAACUUAGAGUGUGUGCGUGCUGUAAAUUUCUUGAUAUUAGGGAUAAAAAAAUUCUCUCUCUAUGUAUAUAUGAAACUGAAGUGAUCUGAAGUCAAGUAUAGCAAAAUUUGAGCUCUAGUGCGGCGAUGAUAUGUUCUCCGAUGCUGUGAUUCGAGGUGAAAGUCAGAAUUGUCAUCGGACAUGUUGGUUAUUUGGUAGUGAGUGAGAGUGUAAAAGCAUAUACCAUAAAAGUUACUCCUAGGUCAGGCUCGUCUGUGAAUCAAGGCGAUACACAAGGAGUAAAAAAAGUUGUGGGGAUUGGCUUUCAACCAGGACCAGAUCAAGGAAAGAUUGUGAGUGCUGCUCAGACUAGAGAUAUCCAAUUUCUUGAUAUAAGAAACCAUAGCAGUGCCUAUCUUACUAUUUAUGGUCAUAGGGGCUCACUAACAGCUUUAGCUGUGCAUAGACACGCUCCAAUUAUUGCCAGUGGUUCAGCAAAACAAAUCAUCAAAGUGUUUAGUCUUGAGGGUGAUCUACUGGGCACCGUUCGAUACUAUCGUACCCUAAUGCCCCAGAAAAUUGGUUCUGUAAGCUGCCUCAAUUUCCAUCCAUACCAAGCAUUGCUUGCUGCUGGUGCUGCAGAUGCAUCAGUUAUCUAUGCUGGAAAACAGUUUCUGCUAAUAAUUAUGUCAUCUUUGUAAAUGUGUGUAAAUAUCAGUUUCCACAUAAUGGUUUUUCAUUCCUGUAAUCCUGUUUUGUGUGCUAUUCCCACCCUUUCUGGAUUUGUAAAUAUUUAGUCAGAAUACAUAAGCUAGUUUGUUGACAAAUGUGGGUGAUUCACUCCUGGAAAAUGGGGUAUGUAUGUAACUUAUGAUUAUAGUUUCUGUUGGACUGAGAAACCCUUGUUUCUUAACUAACAUUUAAUAGUAAUUAAAUUCAAGUUUGUCCAAUGCCUGCCCGUGGAUUCAGCAGCAGUUCGAAACUUGAAAAGCUGAUUCUCCAAACAUCAAUCGGUUCGGACCUUCAGAUUGUUUAAUGACAGUUCCAUCACUUCAUUGUGAAAGACUGACUAGAUUGACCCGUUCUGCCAUAUGUACCUCCAUUUUUCACUCGGUGGAUUCCAUUCAACAAUGGGUUUAAAUCAAUGAUUGUAAAACUAUCUUUUCUUUAUCUUGAUUUGCGUAGGAAUUGUCUCAAUCUAAUGUCCUCUUUGAUAGAGAGGAGAAAAAUAGGAUGAAUGAAAAUAAAAAUGGUGAACAAAAAUAGGUGAGAAAUAAAAUAGAGAUUAAAGGUGUGGUUUAAAUAAAAUAGAGAUAAGGAGAAGGAUACAGAAAUGAGUGAAAAUAGGUGAAAAAUAGUUCAGUAAAUUUCACCAUUUUUAAAAUAGUUCUGUAUUGUCUCCGGAUUACUCAAUUUGGAUUAUCUAUCUAUGUGAUUUUGAAUUUUCCUGUUGCUUCCGAAUUCCGGAAGUAUA